AUGAACACACCGCCAAGGAAGUUCUGCGGAGGCGCUGGCGCCACCUGGUGGUUCCCUGUAUAUAUCGCGAGCUUUCCCGGCCACCCGGGCCGCAGCCCACUGUGCACUGAACCGACAGAAAAGACAAAUAACUGGAGCAAGGUCCCGCGGGAGCAGCUGGCCACCAAGGCUGUCCAUAAAAGUGCUCUUCCCACCAGCGGCGUGAAGGGCCCCCGCCCCCCCCCCACCGUGGCCCUGUGGGAGAUCCGGGGCUACCAGAAGUUGACCCACAAGCUACCUUUCCAGUGGCUGAUGCUCGAGAUGGCACAGCACUUCAAGACCGAUCUGCGCUUUUGAUGGCGCUGCAGGAGGCCAGCGAGUCCAACCUGGUGGGGCUGUUUGAAGACACGAACCUGUGCGCCAUCCACACCAAGCGCAUGACCAUCAAGCCCAAGGACAUCCAGCUAGGCCACGGUAUACGUGGGAAAUGGGAAGCGAGCUUAAGGACCCCCAAAACCGGAGGGUUGUCACCGGCCGGUUCCCCAGCACAGAUCCACGAAUACGACGUGGGAGAUUGGGUGUUUGUUCGGAGACGCUGCCCGGAGACUUUGGAAGCUCAGUUGAGAGAUCCGAUCCAGAGCCUUUGGAUACGAUGGAACUUCGAGGUGAGCGCGCAGUUUAACUUAAGCCCGCUCUCCGCGGAUGCGGCGGGCCAGCUGGAUGUCCUUGGGCAUGAUGGUCACGCGUUUGGCGUGGAUGGCGCACAGGUUCGUGUCUUCAAACAGCCCCACCAGGUAGGCCUCGCUGGCCUCCUGCAACGCCAUCACCGCCGAGCUCUGGAAGCGCAGGGCCACGGUACCUGGCCGGUAGCGGUGAGGCUUCUUCACACCACCGGUGGCCGGGGCGCUCUUUCGGGCAGCCUUGGUGGCCAGCUGCUUCCUCGGGGCUUUGCCCCCGGUCGACUUGCGGGCAGUCUGCUUGGAUACGAGCAACACGGCUUGGAUGUUGGGCAAAACGCCACCCUGGGCGAUGGUGACUUUGCCCAACAGCUUGUUCAGCUCCUCGUCGUUGCGGAUGGCCAGCUGGAGAUGACGGGGGAUAAUGCGGGUCUUCUUGUUGUCGCGGGCCGCGUUGCCCGCCAGCUCCAGGAUUUCCGCGGUCAGGUACUCCAGAACGGCCGCCAUGUAGACUGGCGCACCAGCUCCCACCCGCUCAGCAUAGUUGCCUUUGCGGAGAAGGCGGUGGACUCGGCCCACCGGGAAUUGAAGGCCUGCGCGGGACGAGCGGGACUUGGCUUUGGCGCGAGCUUUGCCUCCUUGUUUACCACGGCCAGACAUGACAGCAACGUCCGCCCUCACCAGACCUGUCUCGAAAGACGAAAAAUGUAUGAACAGCUUUUCACAGACAAGGUGGAUGGCUCUGAAAAGAGCCUUUGGAGCAAAGACGCCGGAAACUGCAAAAGCGGCGGGUCCCAUAAAGGGACUCACUUGGAGCUGGUGUACUUGGUGACAGCCUUGGUGCCCUCGGACACGGCGUGCUUGGCCAGCUCACCGGGAAGCAGUAGGCGCACAGCAGUCUGGAUCUCCCGGGACGUGAUGGUCGACCGCUUGUUCUCCGCCCAAUCGGGGGGGAGAGACUGCGCCUAUAAAGACUGCGGCGGCGGCCAGUCGGUCCUGUUCUUUCUGCCCGCCGUCCGUUGGCUCUUCUUCUCGUUCACUAUGGCCCGUACCAAGCAGACUGCCCGCAAAUCGACCGGGGGCAAAGCCCCGAGAAAGCAGCUGGCCACCAAGGCUGCCCGGAAGAGCGCGCCGGCCACCGGCGGCGUGAAGAAGCCUCACCGCUACCGGCCAGGCACCGUGGCCCUGCGGGAGAUCCGGCGCUACCAAAAGUCCACCGAGCUGCUGAUUCGCAAGCUACCGUUCCAGCGGCUGGUGCGCGAGAUCGCGCAGGACUUCAAGACCGACCUGCGCUUCCAGAGCUCGGCGGUGAUGGCGCUGCAGGAGGCCAGCGAGGCCUACCUGGUGGGGCUGUUUGAAGACACGAACCUGUGCGCCAUCCACGCCAAACGCGUGACCAUCAUGCCCAAGGACAUCCAGCUGGCCCGCCGCAUCCGCGGAGAGCGGGCUUAAGUUAAACUGCGCGCUCACCUCGAAGUUCCAUCGUAUCCAAAGGCUCUUUUCAGA